UACGUAGGGGGCAAGCGUUGUCCGGAAUCAUUGGGCGUAAAGAGCGUGUAGGCGGCCCGAUAAGUCCGCUGUGAAAGUCGGGGGCUCAACCCUCGGAUGCCGGUGGAUACUGUCGGGCUUGAGUACGGAAGAGGCGAGUGGAAUUCCUGGUGUAGCGGUGAAAUGCGCAGAUAUCAGGAGGAACACCAAUUGCGAAGGCAGCUCGCUGGGACGUUACUGACGCUGAGACGCGAAAGCGUGGGGAGCAAACAGG
rnacentral:rRNA from 1 species